rnacentral:rRNA from 1 species
UACGAAGGGGGCUAGCGUUGCUCGGAAUCACUGGGCGUAAAGGGUGCGUAGGCGGGUCCUUAAGUCAGGGGUGAAAUCCUGGAGCUCAACUCCAGAACUGCCUUUGAUACUGAGGAUCUUGAGUUCGGGAGAGGUGAGUGGAACUGCGAGUGUAGAGGUGAAAUUCGUAGAUAUUCGCAAGAACACCAGUGGCGAAGGCGGCUCACUGGCCCGAUACUGACGCUGAUGCACGAAAGCGUGGGGAGCAAACAGG